UAUAAAAUCAAGAUUAACCUAAUUUCUAACCAAAUUAUCUUAAUUCCUAAUUAACCCUAAUUCAUCAAAAACUAUGUUAACUCCUAAUUGUCAAAAAUCAAGAAGAAAACCCUAUUUCUGAUAAAAUCAGCAAAACAGGAUCAAGAUUAACAACAAAAAAACCUGGAAUUAAAAUGAAUAAAUUAAGCAAGGAUUAAUCACACGAAUCUAUGCAGUUGGGCUCCGUUGUUGUUGCUCGAUUGCAUUGCGAUGAAGAGCGAGUGAUGGUCGUUGAUUUGUGAUGAAAAGUUGAGUUGAUGAAUGACGAAGGGUUGGGAUCAAAGGGGCUCUUUUUGUUGUGGAGCUUGCUUGAAUUUGCUAUGGAAUAAUGGCUUGGUGAAAGUGGCAUUGCUUGGAAUUUUGGCUAGGAUGUUUGGGAUUUAUGGAGCUAGUUGGUUAUUAUGGAAUUUUCUAUGGACAUUGUUGUAGUGGUUUAUGUUAUGAAUUUGGAAAUAGAAAUUGUAAUGGAAUUGAUGUAAUGGUUUAUGUAGGGAUUGUGGUAAUCUUUGUUAUAAUGGAUUGGUUUUGAAAACGUAA